rnacentral:rRNA from 1 species
GACAGAGGUGCCAAGCGUUAGGCGGAAUCACUGGGCUUAAAGCGUGUGUAGGCGGAUGCCUAAGUACCUUGUGAAAUCCCCCGGCUCAACCGGGGAACUGCUGGGUAUACUGGGUGUCUUGGGUCAUCUAGGGGCUGCCGGAACAAAUGGUGGAGCGGUGAAAUGCGCAGAUAUCAGGAGGAACACCGGUGGCGAAGGCGGGUCUCUGGGCAGUAACUGACGCUGAGGAGCGAAAGCGUGGGGAGCGAACAGG